GCCGCAACAACCCCACAGCAGACCAGAGGCACCAUGCUUGUCAGGCAUGUCUCGUUAUAGCAGGACUUUCACAUUAUGCCUUAUAUCACAGGAACUGACCGUUAGUUAAGCAUAGAGUAACAGAUUUUAUUAAAAUGUCUUUAUUUUACCUCUCGCAGUUUACUACUGUAGUGCCUACCUUGACUCUACUCUAACAGCACAUGCAAUAUUUUAUUAGCCAGUCCUCACUAAAGGGGCAACUUAAGCUUGUACAAACUAAUGGUGAAACUGCUGGUAUUUCCCUGUAGUCGACAAUGUGUAACCUCACUCUAACCAUAAAAGCUGUCUAGUUUAUCAAUGCAAUGUUAAAUAUUUAGAAGCCUCAGCACAACUAGCCUUGUUAUAUAUAUAUAUGUUUAGUCUAGCAUGCUAAUAUAUAAACCAGUGAUGUUUAAAAGCCUGUUAUAAUCAUGUUAUUAAAAAAAAAAAUUGUGCCGUUUCAACUGAAAUGUAAUGAAAAAUGCCUGCAGAUGAUAUCG